rnacentral:rRNA from 1 species
UACGUAGGUGGCAAGCGUUAUCCGGAAUUAUUGGGCGUAAAGCGCGUGCAGGCGGUUUCUUAAGUCUGAUGUGAAAGCCCACGGCUCAACCGUGGAGGGUCAUUGGAAACUGGGGAACUUGAGUGCAGAAGAGAAAAGCGGAAUUCCACGUGUAGCGGUGAAAUGCGUAGAGAUGUGGAGGAACACCAGUGGCGAAGGCGGCUUUUUGGUCUGUAACUGACGCUGAGGCGCGACAGCGUGGGGAGCAAACAGG